CAUGUUCUGCCUCUCGACGCCCAUCUGCCCGCGCGCCCCGCUCGUGGGUGCCCCCGCUCAUGUGGCAGCCGCCUUCGCGUCCACCACGAGAUCCCCGCCCUUCCCAUGGAACCCCGCUCUGCAUCCCUCCCUGAGCUCUGUCGUGCCAUCCCCGCCCUGCCCCCCUCGAAACCCCGUUCCUUCCGGCCCCGCCCUCGCCCUCCUCCUCCCACUCCGACGCACUCGAGAAGUCGUGAGCCAACGCCGCCGCUUCCACCUCCGAGUCCUUUGCGGCACUCAAGGCCCAUUGUCCCCGCCUCCCCUUCCCGCGCCGCCUAGGUCUCGUUGGACAAGAUGUCGAUCCGGGGUCGACGAGCACUAGACCUUCUUCGGUUCUCUAGCGACCCUCCCCCACAACCACGGUCUCGCGCGAGCUUGGUCAGCUUCGUCAGCGAAGCUGGGCAGCAGGCGUGGGCAGUCGGGCGCGAGAGCUUGGUCGGCUUCGUCAGCGAAGCUGGGCAGCAGGCGUGGGCAGUCGGGAUGGUCCAAGGACGCCAGCUCGCAUCUGGCGGUUUCCGUCCGCAAAGGUAGCAGCAGACGUCGCCUUUGACCAUCUGUGCCUCGAUCCCGCAGAUGCUUGUCCGUGCUGUUAAGCUUCUCAAGAACCUCCACUUCAUGGCGAAGCCCGCUGCGAUUGACUUGAUAAGAAGCAUUAUUCAGGCUGAAGGUGCUUCCACAGAGCAGGCAUUAUCAUCAGCUCUAACAAGUAUUAUGGAUGCGCUGAACAGUACUGACUGGAAUACAAGGAAGGCUGUCUCACUAGCUCUUUCAAGUAUUGCGAUCAGUUCUGGGUAUUUGGUUACCUCUUUCAGAAAUUCCUGCCUUCGCUCCCUUGAGUGUAGUAAAUUUGACAAGGUAAAACCGGUACGUGACACCAUUAUAUACAUGCAAUUCAGCUGUGAAAAGCUAUUCCAGGGUCUCAUACUCCUGAACCAUGAAGCUGGAUCAUCAACAAAAGAUAAUGAAGUCAAGAUUUGUUGCGAGAACCAAAAAAUUACGCUAAUGGUUAUGAGAACAAAUCCCUAAAAGGUUCCAUACGAUGCGAUUAACAUAUGAUGCGACCACAAAAAUUGAAGUUGAUGGUGAUGAAGAUGGUGGCGGCUAAGAAACUGCUUGUUAGUCAAACCCUUGAGGAGGAUUAUUUGGAUAUUGAAACCUUAUAAAAAUUUCAGAUGUUAGAUUAUAUGCAAUGCAGCUAGGCGAAUGUAGUUGUCGGAGGCUAUGGUGGAUACAACACAAGAUGGGCUCUUUUCUUAGUACAUCACGUCGUUCCGCAGAUCAGGUAGGUUGUGGCUAAGAAAAAUGAAGAUGGUGACAGCUAAGAAACUCUAAAGCCACUUCUGAUUCACAUAUGAAGCGACCACAUAAAUUGAAGAUGCCGUGACCUGGGAACAGAUUUGGUAGUAAGCAUUCCAACUCUUCCAUAAUUAUCUGGGUGAUUUUACCUUAAGCAUCUGGGUGAUUUUUAGUAUCAGGGUGACCUAGGAUUUUUAGUAUGAGAGUGACCUGGAAUUUUAUAUUACCAGUAUCAGUUCACAAGUCUAAAUAUACUAAAAUUAGUUCACAAGUCUAAAUCAGUUGACAACAGUUACUGAAAGAUACUAAAAUCAGUUCACAAGGAUACAUAACAUGAUGCUCUUGGUUUGUUGGUUGCUAUGAAAAGAUCGAAAUAACAUGAUGUGUAGGUUCUCAUUUGUCUAAAUAUUGUAGCUAUAUUGUGCAUCUUUUUAUUGCUACAACUUGAAAUGCAUAGUUUUCUUUAGAUACCCUAUUAAUCAUUUAGAGAGAUAGAGUAUAUUUAUGUGUUGUCAUUUCUUUCAAGCAUCAUUAAUUUGAGCUCGUCUGUUCUACUUUGCACAAUUUUGAUUUGCUACUAUUCGUUGUUACAGAACUUCAACUUGAUUUGUGGAACUUUAACUUGAAUUAGGCAAUACUUUUGCAUAAUGCUGAUUUGCUACUAUUUACAGAGAUAUUACAUGUUUACAAAGAUGCUCUUUUACCCCUUUUUUCUAUUUAAUUUACAAAAUAUCUUCAUCCAUGUGGGAUACUUUUUCAUAUUGCAAAUAUGCAUAUAGAUUUUCUUGUGCCUUAUCUUUUUGCCAUUGGAAGUCGAUUAUCCACAUACUACAGAAAUGUCUUGCUAUUCCUUGUGUGAUACGAGUAGCAACUUACGCAUAGAAUCCCAAUUACGCCUUAUAUUUUUUUCUUUGCUGGAAAUGGAUUAUUUACAAUGCUGAAGUUACCUUUCAAUGGCAAAUUCUCAUGUAGAGCCACCUUUAAUUGUGAUGUAGAGAGAUAUCGGUAUCAUUAUCUAAAAUAUUAUCACAAAACUGAGGGAGAAACAAAGUGCUAUCUUUUCUUUCUUUUUCUUUUUAUCUCGUGCUAUAUAUGAAUUAAUCAAAAGAACAAUUAGUACAACGUGAAGAUAUUAAUGAAAUGCAUGUGACCCUGUUAGGAAGAACCGGCGAGCGAUAACAUGUUCCAGUUUUAGAAUAUAUAAAAAAUAGUCUCAAAUUGAUUGUUUGUUGAAUCGGUUGUCUGAAAAAUCUUACAUUCUAUAACAUACAAUAUGGUAAACAACGAAGAGUGCAUCUGUAAACAUGAUUUCUGCAUUUCAUUUGUUAAGUUAUGUAUUAAUGACAUGAUUUCUCCCAUUACUUAUUGGAUUUUGAUGUCGCUUCUGGGAGUGUCUGAUUGAAUGACAUAAUUAAGAAAUAGAAGAUUACUUCCCCAAUAUCUCUUCUUCCUAAUCUCACCUUUCACAGCUUCUGAGUAACAAUCACUUGCUAUUACUAACUGACAUGUCCACUCCUCAUAUGUGAGAUAUUGGGGUUGAUAUAUAUAUAUAUAUAUUGUUCGUUUCCAUGUAAUUGUUGUGCACUAACAUUUAUUGAAUAAUUUGUACACCGUCGCAAUGCACGAGCACUCACGUAGUGCAUCCAUGAUAGAUCGAUCCGGCCAGCUGUCGUACUUGCCACAUUGCCAUCGACCGGUUGCUGUGUCAGCGUCAGGUCAGGUGCCUCAAAAUAGAACAGUGUUAAUGAAUAAAACCAACACGCAAGUCCACCGGAUACACUAUUCACUAUCCGAAACAGGCUUUUGUCGAGUGCCUAGUGAUUUGCCGAGGAUAAUUUAUCGGACGCUCGAUAAAAUAUUAUUUGCCAAAUGCCACUCUCAACAAACAAAUACACUCGACACAGAUCUCAUUUGCCGAGAGCCAAACACUCGGCAUAAACAGACGUUCGGCAAAGGAACGUUUGCCGAGUGUCCAUCUCUAGACGAAAGGCGACUCUUGAGAAAAGACCGUCAGCAGUCGUAUAUAGUUGACGACCGUUAACAAUACCGAAUAUCAGGAGUUGACACUCGACAAACUAACUUCUUUGGCGAAUGUUUUCUAGGCUUACCAAGUGACUGAAGAACCCGGCAAAACAGUUGUGUUAUCUGUCAACUUCCCACUAUCAACCCCAAAAAAAUCCAACUCUGCUUUACGUGAAAUCACUGCUUAUAUACCUGGUAUUGGCCAUAAUUUACAAGAAACGUUCUGUAGUAUUAGUAAGAGGAGGAGUGUGAGAUAUGGCAUUAUUCGAGGAACCCUAGACGCUGUAAGAAUCGUCAACAAGAGUGAUUAGAAAUUGCCCUGACCCUGAAAUGGGGAGCCUGUCUGCCUGUCGCGCGCCUCAGCUAGCUUGCCGCAAGCCCGCAACAGGCUCGGCAGCACACGCGCACUUGCUCUGGUGGAGUGGUGGCAUCGUCAUCUCCAGCCAGCCUCCAGAUGGUCUCGUAUCCCGGGCACCAGCAGACAGACGAAACAUGCCUGCCAUGCAUGUCUCCUCACUCGUGGAAUGCUGCAUGCUCCUCUCGUCUUCUUGUGAUGCGUGGGGUUUUGGCGAAAGUUUUCUUGCGAGUGUAUAAUAUUUAAUAUGGCCCACCACACUGGGAUUAUAUAUGGUGUGAUCUCCACCUUUCUUGUGCCGACGGAUCACAAAGCCGGUUCUUGUAUUAUUAACUGCCGACCACACUGCAUGCUCCUCUCGUCUUCUUGUGACAGCAUUUCUCGUCGACGGUGGGGGCUGCUGCUCGGCAAGAGAAGAUGGGAAGAGGAGGAGGAAGAACGGCUGGAGUUUGAAGGAGAAGAUGGAGUGUAGGGCACACACGCACAUCAGCGAGUGGACUACUAGUGGAGAGAGAGAAGUAGCAGAGGUACGAGAACACAAUGGCGGUCUUCCUUCAGUCACUUGUGCGUCAGUCCAGUAUUGUCGAACUAGUAGAAAAUGGCACGAUUGGAACUGAAGUGCCAAGUUUCCAAACAGGCUUGUAUAGCAAUGUUGCACUGUACUCCCUCCCUCCUAUUAGUUUUCGUUUCAGACAACGAUACAGUCUCCAAAAUAUAAAUUUGACUAUUUUUUAAAAAAAUAUAUAUAUCAAUAAACUUUUAAUA